GAGCACUUAAGUAUUGAUUUUCUCUCUCUCUCUCUCUCUCUCUCUCUCUCUCUAUAUAUAUAUAUAUAUAUAUAUAUAUAUAUAUAUAGAGAGAGAGAGAGAGAGAGAGAGAGGACCAGAAUGAAUAUAUAUA
rnacentral:miRNA from 1 species